UUCUUGGACAGAUUUUGAUCAAUAUAUUCACUCUAAAGGGUCCUCUGAAUACACAGAAAACUCAUGCAUCCUUCUUUUCUGGCAUUUAUAAUAGAAAACACACAUAGAAUCCCAAAGAUACCUUAAAAAUGGAGUUUGAAUCUAGAGCUGUUCUUUGUUGUUAGUGUGUUUUGUUACUGCUGUUUUCUGGGUUGUUGAGCUCUAUUUCCUAUGGUUUUUAUGACUUUUAUUUGGUCCCCAAUACUCUGAUUUCUACUCUAAUUACUGGUGGAAGCUGAUUUUCUAUUUUCUUUUCUCCAAAGUCAGAGGCAUAUUUCUUACUAUCUGUUGUACCUGUGACUGUUAAGGAGUUUGUAAGUGCUUGGCAUGAGGUACAGAUUUACAAAUCUAGCCACUGAUUGAUUAGCCGUUUGUGAAUGAUAGGCAACUUCAAGAACAUGGCAAAAAAUUAUUGCUAAGUUGAUCACUAGGCAGAUUCAAAAUUAAUUCGAUUUCAGCCUAUACAGAUUACUUUUCUUAAUUUAGUUCAAGGCCUGUAAUUAUUUGUAAAAAUGCAAUGAAGCUAUUCAUUA